rnacentral:rRNA from 1 species
GUGCAGCAGUCGCGAAAACUUUACAAUGUGCGAAAGCACGAUAAGGGAACUCUGAGUGCCUCCUAAGGAGGCUGUUCAGGUGUCUAAAAAGCACCUGGAGUAAGGGCUGGGUAAGACCGGUGCCAGCCGCCGCGGUAACACCGGCAGCCCAGGUGGUAGCCACUUUUAUUGGGUCUAAAGCGUCCGUAGCCGGUUGAGUAAGUUCCUUGGGAAAUUUGGCUGCUCAACAGUCAAGCUUCCAGGGAAUACUGCUCGACUUGGGACUGGGAGAGGUCAGAGGUACUCCAGGGGUAGGGGUGAAAUCCAUUAAUCCCUGGGGACCACCGGUAGCGAAGGCGUCUGACCAGACCAGGUCCGACGGUGAGGGACGAAGGCUAGGGUCGCGAACCGGAUUAGAUACCCG